CCGUAUCACGUGAAACUCUGGUGUUUGUUUUUUAUGUCAUCUGCAGAUUGAGGCAGACCUGAAGAAUAGACACGCAUAUUAAGAGUAUCUUGUAUUAUACAGUAGAUAUUGAGAAAAGAAGACAACCACCUUACUUAUUUUGUUUUCAAUUUUGGUAUAAUUGUUCAGAUUUAUAUGGUGCGCAUGUAAUUAAAGAGCCAGUCUAGAGGAGUUUGCCAGUUUUUUCCUAUUGAUAAUAAUUUGGUGAUAACAAAGGUCUAUCGAAGAAAGAUUUUGGUGUUUCCAUCAUUUUGAUUAUAGUGGGAGUUUAAUUGAGCAAGAUAAUCAUUUUUGAAGUUUUAACAUACAGCUAUUUGACAGACAUAAAAGCUGAAUUCCCUUUGCAAACAAAACUGCUACUAAAGAUAGUGCUACCAGAUUGCUGAG